AAUUUUGUGCUCAAUCUCUCAGUACCAGGGUGAAAGUGGAGACGCAAUCUCCCUUGGAAGACGUUAGUCUCCAUCUCUAACGCUCCAGAGACACGGUUCGCAAU
rfam:Gorilla gorilla gorilla genomic chromosome, chr6, whole genome shotgun sequence